UACAGAGGGUGCAAGCGUUAAUCGGAAUUACUGGGCGUAAAGCGUGCGCAGACGGUUGCGUAAGUCAGAUGUGAAAGCCCCGGGCUCAACCUCGGAACUGCGUCUGAAACUACUCGGCUAGAGUACUGGAGAGGGUAACGGAAUUCACGGUGUAGCAGUGAAAUGCGUAGAUAUCGUGAGGAACACCAGAGGCGAAGGCGGUUACCUGGACAGUUACUGACGCUCAGGCACGAAAGCAUGGGGAGCAAAAGGG
rnacentral:rRNA from 1 species